CAAGUCAUAUACUCAUCGUCGACAUCGCACAGAUACACCCCUCCUUAAUAAUAUUAUGGGAGUCGGGGUCUGUUCCCCAGAGAGCCGUAUAUCCUCCGCCUCAGGCUCGUCAGAGUCAUGAAAGAAGAAAAAGGAUUCUGCUAGUCUGUGUCCUUCUUUGGGUGGCAGAAUUGGCAUCUCCUCCUCUUGCC